AUUUUUAGAUGAUUUUGGAAAAUGAGAUGAUAUAAAUAUGAAUUUAUAUAAAAUAUAAAUACAAAAAGUGUAAACAACAGCAUAUCAAUGUUAUUAUACAGUAGUAAACUGAAACUGAAGCUAAAAAAGUGUUACUUGAAAUCAACUGAAAACGUUUUUAUUUCAGCUGUUUGUCAGGGAAACAUUUCUCAUUAUAAUUUUGUUUAACUUAAUAAAAUAACUUAAACUGAAAUACAAGUUUAUAAAACCUUUGUAGAAACAUUUUAAAGUAACAAAAAUGACUAAAAAUUACUUUAAAGUUAAAAUAAAAUGGAAAAUAUAUAAACAAACACUUAAAAAGCUAUCAUAUUAUCUCAAUUAAACUAAAAUAACACAGCAACAUAUUCCAUUUAUCAAAUAGUUAAUAUCAUCAAGUAAUUUUUUCCUGAAAUGCAUGUACAUGCAAGUGUUUUAAUUUCAUUUUUAAUCUUCAGCAUUUGUUAUCACAAUCUCAUGAACUCCCUGCCAUUGUUAAAUUUUCUUAUUGUUCAACAAAGCUAUCAUUUCAGAAUACCUAUUGGAAAAUACAGGGUUUUCACGAGGACCAGUUUUAUGAUCCUUCUCUAUAGUGCUUCUGCAUCGUCUUUGAAGUUUGAGAGCCUAAUUGCAUGGAGAAAAAUUCAUACAGGUUUGGAGUGUUAAGCGGGGAUGCAGGCCUGCUGCUGUUCUCUCCCUUCUCACUCUCACUGAAGCCCCAGACAGAAGCUCCCUGGAGACCUACCCGCCUUGUUUAAACCUGACACAAAUUCCACGUCACAGUGCCCAGAGUGACGGCGCUUGUAGGCACAAAAUCAAAUAUUUCCUUUCCUGGUUGUACUCAACCCCCUCUACGCGUCCCCUCCGACACCUGAACCCUUCCUUUCCACACCAGUUCCAGCACUGCAGUCAGACCGGCAAGAGCAAAAAAGCUUUAGGAGUAACACGUUUAAUUCCUUUGGGAUUUCUCUAUAGUCUUCAGAUUAAUAGCGGGACAGGGACAAAAGGCCUUUUUUCACCUGCUGUUUCCUGCUCUGUCUGGCUGCAUGUCUCCAGGCCCUGGCUCUCUACGACAGCAUCUCUCAUGCAUUCUACAGACAGUCGAAAAGCUCCUUGUAUUAGCAUUCUGAUGAGGAUAUAUUGUUGGAUAGCUGCUGAAUUUGAUCAAUUCUGAGUGUGGUGCAAUUUAAAGGAAUGAGGCUGUAACUUCCUGAGGGUGUGUAAUCCAACUGACCCUUUUGAUUAUUCCGAGAGAAAGUGCGGGGGUUGUGUUAAAUUACAUUGUGAAUGCAGAACACUCAACGUUCUCUUGAUUCUUACACUGCAACAUUUCAAAUGUUUUUGGCUGUUCUAGGUUACCGUGCAGAGUUUAUGAUGACAUGCAACAAGAUGUCAUGCAUUUUCUAUUUAUAAGGAAUGGCAUGUAUUUUAAAAACUUAUACACAGAAACUAAAGCUUUAAAUAAUAUUAAUAUAAACAUUAGGUAACACUUUAGAAUAGGUAACACUUAUUAGUUGCUUAUUAGCAUGCAUAUUACUAGAAUAUUAGCCAUGUAUUAGUGCUAAUUAAGAACAUAUUAAUGCCUUAUUCUACUUGACCUUAUUCUACAUCCCUAAUCUUUCCCAAUACCUAAACAUAACAACUACUGUACCUUACGAACUAUUAAUAAGCAGCAAAUUAAGAAUUUAUUUAUUUUUUAUUUUUUUAAUGUGUGCAUGCCGGUCCUGUAUAAAUGUCUGUUUCUGUUAAACCACUAUAUAAUUAUUAUUAUUUUAUUUUUGUGUGUGUGUCAGCUCUCUUGUUUUCUGGACUAGUAGCUUAUAAUGUGUGAUCUAUGUAUUUUAUGAACAUGUACCAAUUCUUCUAGGGAAUGUGGAAUACUUGGUUCCGUGCUGUCAAUGCUGGGAAAUCUAGGAUGUCUUGUCUCAAGAUUUUCAUUAUUAUUAUUAUUAUUAU